AAUCACAUAAUCUAUUGGCAAGAUAUUAAUCUCAUGCAUUAAAUAAUCUGGUUCGACUCCAGAUGUGGUUA
rnacentral:tRNA from 1 species